AAGAACAAAAACACAAAGAACAUCAGUCCUGUUGGGGAUGAGGAAUGAACAUGGCUUUAUUGAGCCAAAACAGAAAAGACUGAAAAGCUGCUCAUUCCCAUUGGUAUGUCUUUAUUCAAGCAAUUUAUUAGUACAGCAUUUGAUGUUGAUCUCUAUUCAAGUCAGCAAUUAUUAUUUUUCACAUAUACAUCUUUAUAUAAGUCCUAGAAUGAACAAAUCAUCAGGGCAUCAUUUCUGGAAUUUGGGCAGAAAAUGACUGAAUAUGACUAAAGAGAAGUGGGUCUGAGGCCAGAGAUGGAGGAGUCAAUGGUCACCAAGUGCAGCGCUGCAGCCUGAACUGUGUAGACUACAUUCCCAAACAGCUCUGUGACAGCACAGAUGUUACACCCAUAAAAGAAACUUCUCAACUGAGAGCCAAUACCUCCAACAAACUUCAACAGGAAUCAAUGGACAUCUACGCAAGGUUUUUCUUUUGUUGAGGACCGUCAGAGACUCCAGCCACACGAGCCAUGGAUUGCUCUCACCGUUACCACCAGACAGACAUUAUCACACAACCAGCACCAGCAGACUGCAAGACAAGUUCCUUCCACAGGCAAUCAGACUGAACUGAACUCGUACCAGUAACACCACACACACACACACACACACACACACACACCAGCAGCAUCAUUCUGCACCCUGACAUUCUGUUUGCAGUCAUUCAUACUACUCUACAGUAUACAGUGUAUACAGUAUACAGUGAUUG